rnacentral:rRNA from 1 species
GACGAACGCUGGCGGCGUGCUUAACACAUGCAAGUCGAACGGAAAUGCCCUGCUUUUGUUGGUUGCUCGAGUUUCGAACGGGUUUGUAACCCGUGGGUUACCUGCCCUUUACUUUAGGAUCACUUUAGGAAACUAUGGCUAAUACCGGAUAGUAUCUCCUCCUGCUUGGUGGGCGUUGGAACGUUUAGGCGGGUGGGGAUGGACUCGCGGCUUAUCUGCUUGUUGGUGGGGUAGUGGCUUAGCAAGGCUUUGACGGGUAGCCGGCCUGAGAGGGUGACCGGAAAAAUUGGGAAGGAGAUAAGGCACAGACUCAUACGGGAGGCAGCAGAGGGGAAUAGUGCACAAUGGGAGGAAGCAUGAUGUAGCAAAGCGGCGUGCGGGAUGAGGGCAUUCGGGUUGGAAACCGAUGUCGCAUGUGAAGAAGAGAGAGUGACGGUAAUGGGUAAAGAAGCACCGGCUAACUACGUG